CCAACUCGUUUUCGCUGGUUGCCACUUGCCAUCUCAAAUCUCUCUCUCUCUCUCUCUCUCUCUCUCUCUCUCUCGAAACGAUUCAUCGUCUCCGGCCAGCUCCGCUGAACUCACCCCUUCGUUUUCUGAAACCGAUUCCAGAGUUAUGAAUUGGGUUCAACGAAAGAUCUAUCUUUACAAUGUGACAUUUGGGCUCUAUAUGUUGGAUUGGUGGGAGCGUUAUCUCUUCAAUACUUUGGUUGUUGUGUUACUGUGGUUCUUGUGUUACAAUGGCUCACGAUAUUUGAUGGAGUUUGGGAAGAGUGUCAGGCGUCUAUGGUGAGGCCUGGACUCUGGAUGAAGUGUUGACUUGGACUGUUCAGAUUGAUGACUGAGUGAUGAUUUGAAUGCCGAUGCACCUUGUAUUACACUGUAUUUAGAUUUGACUUGUGAACUGUCGAUUUUGUGAGAGCAAUUGUGCAUCUCCUACACCAUUUUUCUCUUGUUUUAGGCGUCAGUUAUCACUUACUAUAGCGGACAGUUUUACUUCCUGCUGUAUGGCAUAAUUCUAACAGUCGAUUUUUCGUUACAUGUUGUGAUUCGUUUUGCUUUCCA